UACGAAGGGGGCUAGCGUUGUUCGGAUUUACUGGGCGUAAAGCGCACGUAGGCGGAUUGUUAAGUGAGAGGUGAAAUCCCGGAGCUCAACUCCGGAACUCGCCUUUCAUACUGGCAAUCUAGAGUCCGGAAGAGGUGAGUGGAACUCCUAGUGUAGAGGUGGAAUUCGUAGAUAUUAGGAAGAACACCAGUGGCGAAGGCGGCUCACUGGUCCGGUACUGACGCUGAGGUGCGAAAGCGUGGGGAGC
rnacentral:rRNA from 1 species